UUUUAAAUAAUUUAAUAAGAAUAAUAAAUUGUAAAUUUAUAAGUAGGUGUAUCCUUUUACUUU
rnacentral:tRNA from 1 species